ACCUAGCUGGCUCAGUUGGAAGAACUUGUGACUCCUGAUCUCAAGGUCGUGAGAUCGAUCCCCAUGUUGGGUU
rnacentral:tRNA from 1 species